rnacentral:rRNA from 1 species
UCCAGACUCCUACGGGAGGCAGCAGUGAGGAAUAUUGGUCAAUGGGCGGGAGCCUGAACCAGCCAAGCCGCGUGAAGGAAGAAGGCGCCAAGCGUCGUAAACUUCUUUUGUCGGGGAACAAAGGGCGCCACGUGUGGCGUUGUGAGUGUACCCGAAGAAAAAGCAUCGGCUAACUCCGUGCCAGCAGCCGCGGUAAUACGGAGGAUGCGAGCGUUAUCCGGAUUUAUUGGGUUUAAAGGGUGCGUAGGCGGAACAUUAAGUCAGCGGUAAAAUCGAGGGGCUCAACCCCUUUAAGCCGUUGAAACUGGUGAUCUUGAGUGGGCGAGAAGUAUGCGGAAUGCGUGGUGUAGCGGUGAAAUGCAUAGAUAUCACGCAGAACUCCGAUUGCGAAGGCAGCAUACCGGCGCCCGACUGACGCUGAGGCACGAAAGCGUGGGUAUCGAACAGGAUUAGAUACCCCCGUA